AUAAAAUGACUAGGUGCAUUUUGACUAGUUCAAUUUUGUUCUGGGAUACAUGUGCAGAACGUGCAGGUUUGUUACAAUUUGCCUUAUUGUGUGAUUUCGAACUCAUCGGCAGUAUCUCCAAGAUCCCAGAUGCUGCCACAUUCCUUGCAAUACAGCCCCUUCCACUAUCUUCAAGGUCCUAGCCUGAGUCCUUCCUUGCUCAAUGAGGAGUCUAAAGACCUUUCAUGGCUUUGGAGUUACAGGGUGAAAGUAGAGUGAGUGAAAGAUGACAAAUUCCUACCUUUGCUUUCCACAUUAACCAUAGCUUGAAGAUAUCAACAUGUCGGCCAUACUGAAUAGUUUUAUCCCCAGUGUCAAAGUCAACAUUUUAGAGUUUAUCUGACUGGAAAAGAUAUUCAGCUUGCAUCUGAUUACAUGCAUCUAGUAGUACCUAAAAAAGGAACAACAUAUCUAACAUCCUUUUGUCUCAUAUAAAAAAUGUGGAAAACAUUUCUCCUCAGUGUU
rnacentral:lncRNA from 1 species